rnacentral:rRNA from 1 species
GACGAACGCUGGCGGCGUGCUUAACACAUGCAAGUCGAGCGGAAAGGCUCCUUCGGGGGUACUCGAGCGGCGAACGGGUGAGUAACACGUGAGUAAUCUGCCCUGCGCUCUGGGAUAGCCACCGGAAACGGUGAUUAAUACCGGAUAUGACCGCUACACGCAUGUGUUGGUGGUGGAAGGUUUUUCGGCGCAGGAUGUGCUCGCGGCCUAUCAGCUUGUUGGUGAGGUAAUGGCUCACCAAGGCUUUGACGGGUAGCCGGCCUGAGAGGGUGACCGGUCACACUGGGACUGAGACACGGCCCAGACUCCUACGGGAGGCAGCAGUGGGGAAUAUUGGACAAUGGGCGGAAGCCUGAUCCAGCAACGCCGCGUGAGGGAUGACGGCCUUCGGGUUGUAAACCUCUUUCAGUACCGACGAAGCGAAAGUGACGGUAGGUACAGAAGAAGGACCGGCCAACUACGUGCCAGCCGCCGCUGUAACAC